AGAGUUUGAUCAUGGCUCAGGAUGAACGCUAGCUACAGGCUUAACACAUGCAAGUCGAGGGGAAACGAUAGAGAAAGCUUGCUUUUUCUAGGCGUCGACCGGCGCACGGGUGAGUAACGCGUAUCCAACCUGCCCACCACUUGGGGAUAACCUUGCGAAAGUAAGACUAAUACCCAAUGAUAUCUCUAGAAGACAUCUGAAAGGGAUUAAAGAUUUAUCGGUGAUGGAUGGGGAUGCGUCUGAUUAGCUUGUUGGCGGGGUAACGGCCCACCAAGGCGACGAUCAGUAGGGGUUCUGAGAGGAAGGUCCCCCACAUUGGAACUGAGACACGGUCCAAACUCCUACGGGAGGCAGCAGUGAGGAAUAUUGGUCAAUGGACGAGAGUCUGAACCAGCCAAGUAGCGUGCGGGAUGACGGCCCUAUGGGUUGUAAACUGCUUUUAUAAGGGAAUAAAGUGAGCCUCGUGAGGCUUUUUGCAUGUACCUUAUGAAUAAGGACCGGCUAAUUCCGUGCCAGCAGCCGCGGUAAUACGGAAGGUCCGGGCGUUAUCCGGAUUUAUUGGGUUUAAAGGGAGCGUAGGCCGGAGAUUAAGCGUGUUGUGGAAUGUAGAUGCUCAACAUCUGCACUGCAGCGCGAACUGGUUUCCUUGAGUACGCACAAAGUGGGCGGAAUUCGUGGUGUAGCGGUGAAAUGCUUAGAUAUCACGAAGAACUCCGAUUGCGAAGGCAGCUCACUGGAGCGCAACUGACGCUGAAGCUCGAAAGUGCGGGUAUCGAACAGGAUUAGAUACCCUGGUAGUCCGCACGGUAAACGAUGGAUGCCCGCUGUUGGUCUGAAUAGGUCAGCGGCCAAGCGAAAGCAUUAAGCAUCCCACCUGGGGA
rnacentral:rRNA from 1 species